rnacentral:rRNA from 1 species
UACAGAGGGUGCAAGCGUUGUUCGGAAUUACUGGGCGUAAAGCGCGUGUAGGUGGCGAUGUAAGUCGGGUGUGAAAUCCCUUGGCUUAACCAAGGAAGUGCAUUCGAUACUGUGUCGCUUGAGUAUCGGAGGGGUCGGCGGAAUUCCCGGUGUAGAGGUGAAAUUCGUAGAUAUCGGGAGGAACACCUGUGGCGAAGGCGGCCGACUGGACGAUCACUGACACUGAGACGCGAAAGCGUGGGUAGCAAACAGG